UACGUAGGUGGCAAGCGUUAUCCGGAAUUAUUGGGCGUAAAGCGCGCGUAGGCGGUUUUUUGAGUCUGAUGUGAAAGCCCACGGCUCAACCGUGGAGGGUCAUUGGAAACUGGGGGACUUGAGUGCAGGAGAGGAGAGCGGAAUUCCACGUGUAGCGGUGAAAUGCGUAGAGGUGUGGAGGAACACCAGUGGCGAAGGCGGCUCUCUGGCCUGUAACUGACGCUGAGGCGCGAAAGCGUGGGGAGCAAACAGGAUUAGAAACCCUAGUAGUCC
rnacentral:rRNA from 1 species